UACGUAGGACCCAAGCGUUAUCCGGAUUUACUGGGUGUAAAGAGUUGCGUAGGCGGCUCGUAAAGUGAAUAGUGAAAGCUGGUCGCUCAACGAUCAAAACAUUAUUCAAACUCACGAGCUCGAGAGUGAUAGAGGUUACUGGAAUUUCUAGUGUAGGAGUGAAAUCCGUAGAUAUUAGAAGGAACACCAAUGGCGUAGGCAGGUAACUAGAUCAUUUCUGACGCUCAGGCACGAAAGCGUGGGGAGCGAACCGG
rnacentral:rRNA from 1 species